CCUACGGGAGACUGCAGUGAGGAAUAUUGGUCAAUGGACGAGAGUCUGAACCAGCCAAGUAGCGUGAAGGAUGACUGCCCUAUGGGUUGUAAACUUCUUUUAUAUGGGAAUAAAAUGUUCCACGUGUGGGAUUUUGUAUGUACCAUAUGAAUAAGGAUCGGCUAACUCCGUGCCAGCAGCCGCGGUAAUACGGAGGAUCCGAGCGUUAUCCGGAUUUAUUGGGUUUAAAGGGAUCGUAGGUGGAUUGUUAAGUCAGUUGUGAAAGUUUGCGGCUCAACCGUAAAAUUGCAGUUGAAACUGGCAGUCUUGAGUACAGUAGAGGUGGGCGGAAUUCGUGGUGUAGCGGUGAAAUGCUUAGAUAUCACGAAGAACUCCGAUUGCGAAGGCAGUUCACUGGACUGCAACUGACACUGAGGCUCGAAAGUGUGGGUAUCAAACAGGAUUAGAUACCCCUGUAGUC
rnacentral:rRNA from 1 species